rnacentral:rRNA from 1 species
UACGUAGGGGGCAAGCGUUGUCCGGAUUUAUUGGGCGUAAAGAGCGUGUAGGCGGCUUUACAGGUCCGUUGUGAAAACUCGAGGCUCAACCUCGAGACGUCGGCGGAAACCAUCUGGCUAGAGUCCGGAAGAGGAGAGUGGAAUUCCUGGUGUAGCGGUGAAAUGCGCAGAUAUCAGGAGGAACACCGAUGGCGAAGGCAGGUCUCUGGGCCGAUACUGACGCUGAGGAGCGAAAGCGUGGGGAGCGAACAGG